GGGUUGUGAGGUUAAGCGACUAAGCGUACACGGUGGAUGCCCUGGCAGUCAGAGGCGAUGAAGGGCGUGCUAAUCUGCGAUAAGCGCCGGUAAGGUGAUAUGAACCGUUAUAACCGGCGAUACCCGAAUGGGGAAACCCAGUGUGAUUCGUCACACUAUCAUUAACUGAAUCCAUAGGUUAAUGAGGCGAACCGGGGGAACUGAAACAUCUAAGUACCCCGAGGAAAAGAAAUCAACCGAGAUUCCCCCAGUAGCGGCGAGCGAACGGGGAGGAGCCCAGAGCCUGAAUCAGCAUGUGUGUUAGUGGAAGCGUCUGGAAAGGCGCGCGAUACAGGGUGACAGCCCCGUACACAAAAGCGCAUGUGCUGUGAGCUCGAUGAGUAGGGCGGGACACGUGGUAUCCUGUCUGAAUAUGGGGGGACCAUCCUCCAAGGC
rnacentral:rRNA from 1 species